GCCAAACCAGAAGAGAAGAGAAACCAAGGAAGAACAAACCCUAGGUGAAAAAAAUCAAAGAGAAAGUGUUGGAAUUCAAGGAUUUGAUCAAACAAAGGUAAAAUUUCUUUGAUUUUGCUAUUGAUUUACCUUACCCAUGCAUUUUCCCUUAAUUUUCAUGGUUAAAUUAAAUGUUUUCAUGAUGAAUUCAUGACUGGUCAAAAUGGGUAAGGAGAGAGAAAUAUGUUGGAUUGAAUUGAUUUUAAGAUAUGUUAGUGUUUUUCGUUAGUUUAACAUAUUUAGAAGUAAAACAACAAGAAAAUAAUCCAUUUUCCCCAUGAAUCUUCAUUGGUCGAAUCUUGUUUGAUGUGUGUGGGUGAUGGAUUGUUAUUGUUUCAAGAGAAAUGACUUAGAAAAUGAUGAAUAAUGGUGAGAAAAUUAAGUAGGAAAAAUCACGAUGCUAGUGCACUAUAAUGGCCGAAUUUUUCCAUGAAGAAAUGGGAGGGUUUUGAUGUUGAAAUUGGUGUUAUUUGAAUAAUGUUUGGUGAAUUGAGGUACUAGAAAUGAAAUGGAGCAAUUUGGAGCCAAAUCGGAUGCAAUUGUCAUUUAAUCGGGUAAUAGGCUAAAUUAGGUCAGCACCGCAUUUAAGCGGUAGUCGGAUAAGUUGCAUAUCAUAUCAUGCAUAUACACCGAGCCUGAAUUGAUUUUAUAAUGGUCAAGCAUUAAUGUGGUGAAUUAUGUAUUGUAUAUUAUGGAUAGGUUGUGAGUAAAUUACACUGGUAAAAGUACAGAGACUGUGCUUGAAGACUGGGAUUAGGAGUACAUCGACUCCUAAAACUGUGAGUAAACUUAUUAUCGUCUUAAUUAUCUAGAGUAGUUUUAUACAAUUGUGUGAUUUUAUAGAAAAUGGGUUUAAAUGGUAAAUUGCUACGUUUUAGGAGAAAUUAUGAUUUUAUAAAAUGAUUUUAUAAAUUUCCUAGAAAAUUGAAUAUUGGUUUUGAAAAUAGAGUAAUUAGAGACUGCCUGCUUGUGUUAUAAAUUGUGUUUUAAAUUAUAUGGCUUAUAGCAAUAUGUGAGCAUAAAUGGCAAAGUCGCUAUUUGUAUCAAAAUUAUAUAUACUAUGUAUUUAGCCUUGAGAGGCUAGAUUGCGAUAAAUUGCUAUGUCAUGCAGAUAAGGAUUUUAUAAAUCAGGUGGUAGAUAAAAUAAUCCAUAGUCACUGCAGUGGUGGGGGUUUCCAUGGACUACCUAUGAGAGGGGCAUGGUAACUCAAUUAUAUAUUUACCUCCGGGGGGAGAUGUUGGAUGAAGUAUCUCCUGAGGUAAAGAUUUGAGUGCACUUCACGUGGACCACCACGUGAGAGUGAGACUCAGCCAACGCCAAAUAACGGUUGUGUGUCAGAUGCGAAAACAUGUUUAUAGGUAUGGGACAUUUAACAGCCUUGGAGGUCUCAGUGGGUUACCUUGACGAAGGUACCCGCGAGAAAGAUUUUGGCAGGAGCCAAGUUUUGAGAAAUUCACGAGCCAUAUUGAUUAUUUGGUUGAAAAGAAUAUUUUAAUUCGUCUCCAUUUAUUCGCCUUUAGAUGGUUUAGAUGGUGUUUGUUUACUCACUGGGAUUAUAUAAUCUCAUCCCUCUUCUUAUCCAUUUUUUUAGGCUCAGGAUAGUUUGUUGAUAGUUGAUUAAGACGAGAAUUAAUCUCGGAGUUGUAUCCUAGAAAGUAAGGGUUCGUAGCCCUACACCUUUUUGGUUAGUUGAGGGCCUACGUGUCACUGUAAAAGUAAUUUUAUACUUCAGUUAUCUGAUUUAAAAUAUGUAUGAACAUAUUUAGCUUUUACACCAUGUUUUUGGAGGGUUUCGGUAUUUUUAAAAAAAAAUGACGAAAAUGCCCUUGUGAGCCAAAAAAUAAUAUUUUAUUAUUUUGAUUUGAAAAUGACUUAUGAUUUCUUGAAAUAUGAGAUUUAAUAACUGUCGCUCACUAAGGAGAUGUGGAAGCUGAUGCUAAGCCUUGCGGGGUUUUGAUCGGCAUUAGGGGUAAUGAGUGCUUAUCGGGACGUCGCGACGGUUGUCACGGGCUCGAUGAGAGUUCCGGGUCAUGACGAUUAUCAACUACCCUUGCUUCUAGCUAAGGUGUCAUCCAAAAACAAUCUAAAAAGAAAUACAUAAAUAGUUGGAUUGCAUUCCAAUUACUUAUGGAGUUUAGGAUCACCUCGUUGCUAUUAUGCUUAUGGAACUCUUGAGACCUCCAUAUUCAAAGUGGUACAACCUAAAUGCAAGAUGCAAUUAUCAUGGUGGAUUUAUGGGACAUUCCAUUAAAGAUUGUACCAUUUUCAAGCAUACGGUUCAAACAUUAAUAGAUGCAAAGUGGUUUGAUCUAGCAAAAGUGGUCAAGCAUGGUGAUAGGAUGUCCAAUUAGGUGUCUAAGUGACAAAAGAGUGGGCUUUAUUGGGACUUUUUCCUUUAAGUAAAAGUUUUUAAGACCUUAAGACAUUUAAUGUUUGGACAUGGCAAUUCUUAACUUCUUUCUAAUUUUGUAAAAAUGGAUUUACAUUUGUGACAAAUUAUAGGGAAAUGAAUGUGUUUAAGGUUGUGCUUCAAAUGAUGUAAAGAAUUGUCACAGAUUGGGUUGAAUGUAUCAAUGAUUGACUUUUUAGGUUUUGUUUAAGCAUAUUCUAAAUUAUGUUUCAUAAUAACAGAAAAGACUUCUAAAAAAAAAUGAAUGAAUGAAAAAGAUGGU
rnacentral:lncRNA from 1 species